rnacentral:rRNA from 1 species
GACGAACGCUGGCGGCGUGCUUAACACAUGCAAGUCGAACGGACAGACAGAGAGCUUGCUCUCUUGAAGUUAGUGGCAAACGGGUGAGUAACGCGUAAUCAACCUGCCCUUCAGAGGGGGAUAACAACGGGAAACCGUUGCUAAUACCGCGUACGAUUCAUGAACGGCAUCGUUUAUGAAUGAAAGGUGGCCUCUAUGUAUAAGCUAUCGCUGAAGGUGGGGAUUGCGUCUGAUUAGCUAGUUGGAGGGGUAACGGCCCACCAAGGCAAUGAUCAGUAGCCGGUCUGAGAGGAUGAACGGCCACAUUGGGACUGAGACACGGCCCAAACUCCUACGGGAGGCAGCAGUGGGGAAUCUUCCGCAAUGGACGAAAGUCUGACGGAGCAACGCCGCGUGAGGGAUGAAGGUCUUCGGAUUGUAAAGCUCUGUUAAUCGGGACGAAAGAGUUCUGCGUGAAUAAUGCAGAAAAGUGACGGUACCGGAAUAGAAAGCCACGGCUAACUACGUGCCAGCCGCCGCCGUAA